GAUUAAAGGGACUGUUAAUGGAUGUGUUGAAAAUCAUGAAGAACUUAGACUGAGUAAAUGAGAACCAGUUCCCUGCUGCUGCAGAACUGUUAGGAACUGGAAGGCACAGAUUUAAGACGCUGACUACAACAGACUGUUUACUAAGAUACCAUUGGAGAAGACCCCAGUGAUGCUGAAGACCUACACAGGUGAAAAGGUGACCCCCAAAGGCAAACUGAAAGUGAAGGUGAUGUAGACAUGCAGUAGAUAGCAUUCCGACUGUUGCACCACCAUCAGGUACAGAGCUGCAGGAUUGAAAGAGGCUACAGAGGGUUGUAGACUUAACUAGUCCAUUGUCGGCACAACCCUUCCCACCACUAAAGAGAUCUUCAAAAACUGAGGCCUCAAGAAGAUGGCAUCCAUCAUUAUGAACUCUCACCGUCCAGGACAUGCUCUCUUUGCAUUAAUACCAUUGGGAAGGAGGUACAGGAGUUUGAAGACACACACUCAGUAUUUUUGGAACAUCUUCUUCCUCUGCAUUAUCAGAUUUCUGAAUGGUUCAUGAAUACUACAUCGCUAUUCCUCUUUUGUAGUAUUUAUUUAUUCAUUGUAACUUACAGUAAUUAUGUUUUGCACUGUACAGCUGUCACAAAGCAAAAACAUUUAUAACAAGCAGUAUGUUGGUGAUAAUAAAUUUGAUUCUGAUUCUGAUUAUUCUAAGCAAUUAAUCUUCAACUAGUUAACAAAAUCAUCCAAGGUUACUAUUUCAAACAAUGCAAUGAAUGCAGCUA